rnacentral:rRNA from 1 species
UACGUAGGGGGCAAGCGUUAUCCGGAUUCACUGGGUGUAAAGGGAGCGUAGACGGCCAUGCAAGCCUGGAGUGAAAGCCCGGGGCCCAACCCCGGGACUGCUCUGGGAACUGUGCGGCUGGAGUGCGGGAGGGGCAGGCGGAAUUCCUGGUGUAGCGGUGAAAUGCGUAGAUAUCAGGAGGAACACCAGUGGCGAAGGCGGCCUACUGGACGGUGACUGACGCUGAGGCUCGAAAGCGUGGGGAGCAAACAGG